AUACCCUCGCUUUUAAAAGAUAUCAUCAGUAAACUCAAAUUCAACGUAACUGUUGUAUCCAACGCAAUAAAGCAAUCAAAAUGUCGAAGCUUAUUAUUUUACUUUCAUUGUUCGCAUUGUUGGCUAUCGGAGCCGAAAGCGCUUGCAUAAAACAUGGAGGAGAUUGUUCCGCAGGAGGUUCUUGCUGCCGCCCGUAUCAUUGCAGAGCAAAUUAUUUUAACCGUCUUGAAUGUGGAAACACACUCUCCAGAGGUGGUGAUGAUGACUAAUCAGCCUCAGAUUAAUUUUUCACGAUUAUAAUUAUGAUUACAAUGAUGAGAAAAAUUAUUUUCAACAUUAAAUAAUUAAUCAAAUUUAAAGUAUAUAUAAAUUUUAUGACUAAAAACAUUGUUAUUUCAUUGAAUAAAAUCGAUUAACCAAAUUUAUCUUUAAGAAUA